rnacentral:rRNA from 1 species
GAUGAACGCUGGCGGCGUGCCUAAUACAUGCAAGUCGAGCGAACAGACGAGGAUCUUGCUCCUCUUACGUUAGCGGCGGACGGGUGAUUAACACGUGGAUAACCUACCUAUAAGACUGGGAUAACUUCGGGAAACCGGAGCUAAUACCGGAUAAUAUAUUGAACCGCAUGGUUCAUUAGUGAAAGACGGUUUUGCUGUCACUUAUAGAUGUAUCCGCGCCGCAUUAGCUAGUUGGUAAGGUAACGGCUUACCAAGGCAACGAUGCGUAGCCGACCUGAGAGGGUGAUCGGCCACACUGGAACUGAGACACGGUCCAGACUCCUACGGGAGGCAGCAGUAGGGAAUCUUCCGCAAUGGGCGAAAGCCUGACGGAGCAACGCCGCGUGAGUGAUGAAGGUCUUCGGAUCGUAAAACUCUGUUAGUAGGGAAGAACAAAUGUGUAAGUAACUAUGCACGUCUUGACGGUACCUAAUCAGAAAGCCACGGCUAACUACGUG